rnacentral:tRNA from 1 species
GCCAGUGUAGCUCAGUUGGCUAGAGCAGCUGAUUUGUAAUCAGCAGGUCGUGGGUUCGAGUCCCUCCACCGGCUCUA